rnacentral:miRNA from 1 species
UCCUGUAGCCAGAAGAUUCUGA